rnacentral:rRNA from 1 species
GGAGAAUUGAGGGGGGCUGCUCCUAGUACGAGAGGACCGGAGUGGACGCAUCACUGGUGUUCGGGUUGUCAUGCCAAUGGCACUGCCCGGUAGCUAAAUGCGGAAGAGAUAAGUGCUGAAAGCAUCUAAGCACGAAACUUGCCCCGAGAUGAGUUCUCCCUGACUCCUUGAGAGUCCUGAAGGAACGUUGAAGACGACGACGUUGAUAGGCCGGGUGUGUAAGCGCAGCGAUGCGUUGAGCUAACCGGUACUAAUGAACCGUGAGGCUUAACCUU